AUCGGUAGGAGAAGAAAGUAGUGCAGAAAAAAUUACAAGUUCCUUAACUUGCAGACUUGCAUAAAAAAAAUUGUGCAGAUGUACUAAACUGAGCCUCACACUUGUUGAUAAGGAGUAUCUUUCCUACCAAAAAAGUUUGGCAAAUAGGUUGCCGCAGACAGACGCAUUUUGCCGGAAAACGAAUCUGACAUGCCACCUCGAGAUUUUGACCAAGGAAAGACAAGUUGAUGUGCUUUGAUUUGAGGGGUCACUCACUGCUGAACGAAAAUUAGGGACAUCGCUAUGAGAAGAAACGUUAACAUUGUCGCCUAUGGGAAAACAAUUAGUGGACUGUACCCAUAUUGGGAAGCCUAUAAGGUCAUGGUCAUUGGUACAGGAAAACCAUGAGGUUCAUGCAGGUGGUGUUUAAAACUAUUGGCCAGCAAACACACACCCAUUUGAAAACAUCUUGAAAUUUCACGGUCACCAGCAAAAAGUGGCAGUUGGCAAAAUGUAGGUUGCCGCAGACAGACGCAUUUUGCCGGAAAACGAAUCUGACAUGCCACCUCGAGAUUUUGACCAAGGAAAGACAAGUUGAUGUGCUUUGAUUUGAGGGGUCACUCACUGCUGAACGAAAAUUAGGGACAUCGCUAUGAGAAGAAACGUUAACAUUGUCGCCUAUGGGAAAACAAUUAGUGGACUGUACCCAUAUUGGGAAGCCUAUAAGGUCAUGGUCAUUGGUACAGGAAAACCAUGAGGUUCAUGCAGGUGGUGUUUAAAACUAUUGGCCAGCAAACACACACCCAUUUGAAAACAUCUUGAAAUUUCACGGUCACCAGCAAAAAGUGGCAGUUGGCAAAAUGUAGGUUGCCGCAGACAGACGCAUUUUGCCGGAAAACGAAUCUGACAUGCCACCUCGAGAUUUUGACCAAGGAAAGACAAGUUGAUGUGCUUUGAUUUGAGGGGUCACUCACUGCUGAACGAAAAUUAGGGACAUCGCUAUGAGAAGAAACGUUAACAUUGUCGCCUAUGGGAAAACAAUUAGUGGACUGUACCCAUAUUGGGAAGCCUAUAAGGUCAUGGUCAUUGGUACAGGAAAACCAUGAGGUUCAUGCAGGUGGUGUUUAAAACUAUUGGCCAGCAAACACACACCCAUUUGAAAACAUCUUGAAAUUUCACGGUCACCAGCAAAAAGUGGCAGUUGGCAAAAUGUAGGUUGCCGCAGACAGACGCAUUUUGCCGGAAAACGAAUCUGACAUGCCACCUCGAGAUUUUGACCAAGGAAAGACAAGUUGAUGUGCUUUGAUUUGAGGGGUCACUCACUGCUGAACGAAAAUUAGGGACAUCGCUAUGAGAAGAAACGUUAACAUUGUCGCCUAUGGGAAAACAAUUAGUGGACUGUACCCAUAUUGGGAAGCCUAUAAGGUCAUGGUCAUUGGUACAGGAAAACCAUGAGGUUCAUGCAGGUGGUGUUUAAAACUAUUGGCCAGCAAACACACACCCAUUUGAAAACAUCUUGAAAUUUCACGGUCACCAGCAAAAAGUGGCAGUUGGCAAAAUGUAGGUUGCCGCAGACAGACGCAUUUUGCCGGAAAACGAAUCUGACAUGCCACCUCGAGAUUUUGACCAAGGAAAGACAAGUUGAUGUGCUUUGAUUUGAGGGGUCACUCACUGCUGAACGAAAAUUAGGGACAUCGCUAUGAGAAGAAACGUUAACAUUGUCGCCUAUGGGAAAACAAUUAGUGGACUGUACCCAUAUUGGGAAGCCUAUAAGGUCAUGGUCAUUGGUACAGGAAAACCAUGAGGUUCAUGCAGGUGGUGUUUAAAACUAUUGGCCAGCAAACACACACCCAUUUGAAAACAUCUUGAAAUUUCACGGUCACCAGCAAAAAGUGGCAGUUGGCAAAAUGUAGGUUGCCGCAGACAGACGCAUUUUGCCGGAAAACGAAUCUGACAUGCCACCUCGAGAUUUUGACCAAGGAAAGACAAGUUGAUGUGCUUUGAUUUGAGGGGUCACUCACUGCUGAACGAAAAUUAGGGACAUCGCUAUGAGAAGAAACGUUAACAUUGUCGCCUAUGGGAAAACAAUUAGUGGACUGUACCCAUAUUGGGAAGCCUAUAAGGUCAUGGUCAUUGGUACAGGAAAACCAUGAGGUUCAUGCAGGUGGUGUUUAAAACUAUUGGCCAGCAAACACACACCCAUUUGAAAACAUCUUGAAAUUUCACGGUCACCAGCAAAAAGUGGCAGUUGGCAAAAUGUAGGUUGCCGCAGACAGACGCAUUUUGCCGGAAAACGAAUCUGACAUGCCACCUCGAGAUUUUGACCAAGGAAAGACAAGUUGAUGUGCUUUGAUUUGAGGGGUCACUCACUGCUGAACGAAAAUUAGGGACAUCGCUAUGAGAAGAAACGUUAACAUUGUCGCCUAUGGGAAAACAAUUAGUGGACUGUACCCAUAUUGGGAAGCCUAUAAGGUCAUGGUCAUUGGUACAGGAAAACCAUGAGGUUCAUGCAGGUGGUGUUUAAAACUAUUGGCCAGCAAACACACACCCAUUUGAAAACAUCUUGAAAUUUCACGGUCACCAGCAAAAAGUGGCAGUUGGCAAAAUGUAGGUUGCCGCAGACAGACGCAUUUUGCCGGAAAACGAAUCUGACAUGCCACCUCGAGAUUUUGACCAAGGAAAGACAAGUUGAUGUGCUUUGAUUUGAGGGGUCACUCACUGCUGAACGAAAAUUAGGGACAUCGCUAUGAGAAGAAACGUUAACAUUGUCGCCUAUGGGAAAACAAUUAGUGGACUGUACCCAUAUUGGGAAGCCUAUAAGGUCAUGGUCAUUGGUACAGGAAAACCAUGAGGUUCAUGCAGGUGGUGUUUAAAACUAUUGGCCAGCAAACACACACCCAUUUGAAAACAUCUUGAAAUUUCACGGUCACCAGCAAAAAGUGGCAGUUGGCAAAAUGUAGGUUGCCGCAGACAGACGCAUUUUGCCGGAAAACGAAUCUGACAUGCCACCUCGAGAUUUUGACCAAGGAAAGACAAGUUGAUGUGCUUUGAUUUGAGGGGUCACUCACUGCUGAACGAAAAUUAGGGACAUCGCUAUGAGAAGAAACGUUAACAUUGUCGCCUAUGGGAAAACAAUUAGUGGACUGUACCCAUAUUGGGAAGCCUAUAAGGUCAUGGUCAUUGGUACAGGAAAACCAUGAGGUUCAUGCAGGUGGUGUUUAAAACUAUUGGCCAGCAAACACACACCCAUUUGAAAACAUCUUGAAAUUUCACGGUCACCAGCAAAAAGUGGCAGUUGGCAAAAUGUAGGUUGCCGCAGACAGACGCAUUUUGCCGGAAAACGAAUCUGACAUGCCACCUCGAGAUUUUGACCAAGGAAAGACAAGUUGAUGUGCUUUGAUUUGAGGGGUCACUCACUGCUGAACGAAAAUUAGGGACAUCGCUAUGAGAAGAAACGUUAACAUUGUCGCCUAUGGGAAAACAAUUAGUGGACUGUACCCAUAUUGGGAAGCCUAUAAGGUCAUGGUCAUUGGUACAGGAAAACCAUGAGGUUCAUGCAGGUGGUGUUUAAAACUAUUGGCCAGCAAACACACACCCAUUUGAAAACAUCUUGAAAUUUCACGGUCACCAGCAAAAAGUGGCAGUUGGCAAAAUGUAGGUUGCCGCAGACAGACGCAUUUUGCCGGAAAACGAAUCUGACAUGCCACCUCGAGAUUUUGACCAAGGAAAGACAAGUUGAUGUGCUUUGAUUUGAGGGGUCACUCACUGCUGAACGAAAAUUAGGGACAUCGCUAUGAGAAGAAACGUUAACAUUGUCGCCUAUGGGAAAACAAUUAGUGGACUGUACCCAUAUUGGGAAGCCUAUAAGGUCAUGGUCAUUGGUACAGGAAAACCAUGAGGUUCAUGCAGGUGGUGUUUAAAACUAUUGGCCAGCAAACACACACCCAUUUGAAAACAUCUUGAAAUUUCACGGUCACCAGCAAAAAGUGGCAGUUGGCAAAAUGUAGGUUGCCGCAGACAGACGCAUUUUGCCGGAAAACGAAUCUGACAUGCCACCUCGAGAUUUUGACCAAGGAAAGACAAGUUGAUGUGCUUUGAUUUGAGGGGUCACUCACUGCUGAACGAAAAUUAGGGACAUCGCUAUGAGAAGAAACGUUAACAUUGUCGCCUAUGGGAAAACAAUUAGUGGACUGUACCCAUAUUGGGAAGCCUAUAA